UACGAAGGGGGCUAGCGUUGCUCGGAAUCACUGGGCGUAAAGGGUGCGUAGGCGGGUCUUUAAGUCAGGGGUGAAAUCCUGGAGCUCAACUCCAGAACUGCCUUUGAUACUGAAGAUCUUGAGUCCGGGAGAGGUGAGUGGAACUGCGAGUGUAGAGGUGAAAUUCGUAGAUAUUCGCAAGAACACCAGUGGCGAAGGCGGCUCACUGGCCCGGUACUGACGCUGAGGCACGAAAGCGUGGGGGGCAAACAGG
rnacentral:rRNA from 1 species